AUGCGCUACGCUCGCAGCGCCUGUCACGUGACGCGCAAGACGAGGCGCGGCCUCGCUCUGCGCAUGCGGGCCAGCCGUGCUGCGCUCCCGCGGGGCUGGUUUGUGAGGAAAGGGCCCGGCUGCCCGGGCCCAGGUGGGGGCUUGCUACCCGGAGGCGACGACGGCGUCCAUUUUUCUUGGACGACGGAAACAAAAUAUCUAGAAAUGCAGUUUUUUACCAGGUCUGGACCCUGUGCUUCUGCUCUUGUGAUUUUGCACGACCUUGGUUUCCCCAUCUUCACAACACCACCUGCCUUGCCCCAUGCCCUAUAUAAGACCGUGGCAUGUGUUCAAUUAUUUUUUGGGCUCUGAGCUGCUUCGGAUGGGACAUAUCACCCUGGCACCUGAGACCCAACCAACUCUACUUGUCCUGGAGUUUCUCCCUAGGAAGAAUGCAGGUAUUGGAAAUUAUAUUUCUUCCACAUUGACACAAAUCAAAGGUGCAUGUGUAUGCACUCAUGAGUGGAGGGGAGGGGCAGAGGGAGAGGAACAAGCAGACUCCAUGCUGAGCAGGGAGCCUGAUGUGGGGCUUCAUCUCAGGACCCUGAGAUCAUGACCUGCGCCAAAGGCACACUGUUAACCAACUGAACCACUCAAGUGCCCCUCAUUGUGGUUUUGAUUUGCAUUUCCUCAUAAUCAGUUGUGUUGAGUGACUUUUAUAUACCUAUUGGACAUUUGUAUGUCUUUUACAGAAAAAUGUCUUUUCAGUUAUGUCCAUUUUUAAAUCAGAUUUUUUCCUUAUUAAUUGUAGGAGUUCUUUAUAUACUUUAGAUAUUAACCCCUUAUCAGAUAUGAUUUGUAAAUAUUUUCUCUCGGCCAUAGGUUGCCUUUUCAUUUUGUUGAUGGUUUCAUUUUCUGUGUAUCUUUUUAGUUUGAUGUUGCUUAGUCACUUGCUUGUCACUUGCUUAGUUUUGCUUUUGAUUUUUUUGAUAUCAAAUCUAAAAAAAAUUGUUGUCAAGAUCAAUGUCAAAGAUUUUACCCCCAUGUCUUCUUCUAGGAGUUUUAUGGUUUCAGGUCUUAUAUGAAAGUCUUUAAUACAUUUCGAGUUAGUUUUUGUAUAUGGUGUAAGAUAGUGUUUCAGUUUCAUUCUUUUGAAUAUAAAUGUCCAGUUCUUCCAACACCAUUUACUGAAAAGACUAUCCUUUCCCCUUUGUAUAUUCUUGGCUCCUUUGUUCUAAGUUAAUUGACCAAACAUAUGUGUGUUUAUUUCUGGAUUCUCUAUUUUGUUUCAUUGAUCUGUGUGUUUG
rnacentral:lncRNA from 1 species